UACGGGGGAUGCGAGCGUUGUCCGGAUUCACUGGGCGUAAAGGGCGCGUAGGCGGCCCGGUCAGUCGGCGCUCUAAGUGCGGGGCUCAACCCCGUGAUGGCGCCGGGACGGCCGGGCUGGGGCGCGGCAGAGGGAGACGGAAUGCCGGGUGUAGUGGUGAAAUGCGCAGAUAUCAGGAGGAACACCGGUGGCGAAGGCGGGUCUCUGGGCCGUAACUGACGCUGAGGAGCGAAAGCGUGGGGAGCGAACAGG
rnacentral:rRNA from 1 species